rnacentral:rRNA from 1 species
CUGCUGCCUUCCGUAGGAGUCUGGUCCGUGUCUCAGUACCAGUGUGGGGGGCCUUCCUCUCAGAACCCCUACGCAUCGUCGCCCCGGUGGGCCGUUACCCCGCCGACUAGCUAAUGCGCCGCAUGCCCAUCCGUGGCCGGGAUUGCUCCCUUUGGCGGCCUUGGGAUGCCCCAAGGCCGCGUUACGCGGUAUUAGACGGGGUUUCCCCCGCUUAUCCCCCUGCCACGGGCAGGUUGCAUACGUGUUACUCACCCGUGCGCCGGUCGCCGGCAACGGCAGG